GGGGAAGGGGGGGGCUGCCGGUGGGAUCGGCGCGCGAAUCUCACCGGGGUUUGCUUCUCAGUUAAAGGAUGAAAGGCAGCAAGGAGCUGUUCUUGGUGAAAUUCGUAAAAUCUUCUGGGAGUUCGGAGUAUUUCUUGAAAGCUUUGGAGUCUAUAAAAGAAUUUCAGUCUGAAGAACAUCUCCAGAUUCUUGAAGAAGAAGCAGCACUCAAUAUAAAAGAAAAUGAUAAAUCCCUUUACAUUUGUGAUCCUUUCACUGGUGUUGUUUUUAAUCAUCUCCAAAAGCUUGGUUGUAGAAUUGUUGGACCACAGGUAGUCCUGUAUUGCAUGCAAUCCCAGAGAUGCGUCCCAAGAGCUGAGUAUCCCGUGUAUAACAUGACCAUGGCUGACGUAACGAUAUCCUGUACCACCCUAGAUAAAGAUGUUCGGGAAGAAGUUCAUAAAUAUGUACAAAUGAUGGGUGGACGUGUGUACAGAGACCUCAAUAUGUCAGUAACUCAUCUUAUAGCAGGAGAAGUUGGCAGCAAGAAAUACUUAGUAGCUGCUUCUCUGAAAAAACCUAUUUUGCUUCCUUCUUGGGUUAAGACACUAUGGGAUAAAUCUCAGCAAAGCAUGAUGAGAUAUACGGAUGUUAACAUGGAAGACUACACUUGUCCUGUGUUUCUUGGCUGUACGAUUUGUGUAACUGGCUUAAGUAGUUCAGACAGGAAAGAAGUCCAGCGCCUCACGGCUGAACAUGGUGGGCAGUAUUCAGGGCAACUCAAGAUGAAUGAAUGUACUCACCUCAUAGUUCAAGAGCCAAAAGGUCAGAAGUACGAAUGUGCCAAAAAAUGGAACGUCCACUGUGUGCCUGUGCAGUGGUUUUCUGACAGCAUUGAGAAGGGCUUCUGUCAAGAUGAGGCAAUGUAUAAAAUAGAGACUGGAUCAAAACUAAGCAGUACACCCAGUACCUCCACACCCACCAGUCAUGCCAGCAAGCUUGACACUCAUUCCCUUUCGGACGUCAGCUGCAUUUCCAAUGUAAAUUUGAGUAGAGUUAAUGAAACUGCCUGUAGUUCUGCAACGAGCAGCAGACUGGAUCCUCCUCCUGAUGAGUUGGAGAACUUGGACAUAAGCACUUUUCAAGCUCCUGAAGAUUUAUUAGAUGGCUGUCGAGUCUAUCUGUGUGGCUUCAGUGGUAGGAAGCUGGACAAGAUGAGAAGGCUUAUUAACUGCGGUGGUGGUGUUCGAUUUAAUCAGCUUAAUGAGGAUGUUACCCACAUCAUUCUGGGGGAAGACAGUGGCGAGCUGAAGCACUUUUUGGACAAGACGCUUCACAGGCCUCAUAUAGUGACAGCAAAGUGGUUACUGGAGUCGUUCAGUAAAGGCUAUCUCUGUCCAGUGGAGCAAUAUAUCCCUCAAAACUACCAGCUGUUAGUGAAUACAGUUUUGGAACAGCCUGAUGCAAAGUUAGUUCUUCCCAAAAACAACAGCAUCUUGAAGAAGAAAGCCGUGAAUGUUGUAAAGUUCCAGCAAGCUGCAGAAGACGACUUCCUCUCUCAGUAUGUCAGUAAUGAUUCUACAUUAGUUGAAGCUGAGAAACUAGCAUGUGGUAGCUUCAAUGAUGUUACUCAUGUGACUGUUCAAGAAGAAAAUCAGUCUUCUGUCUGUAAUGGUUCUUUGGGAGAGCCUUCUGCACUGGAUGAAGGAGGUGUAUUUGCCAGGAAGAGAUUUCUUCUUUUGGGUUUUGGAGAAGAAGAUGAGUCUUGCAUUGCAGAUCUGAUUAAGGAGCAUGCUGGGAAAACUGUGCCGCUGCAAAGCAGAAUCAUUGCAGACUAUGCUGUGGUACCUUUAUUGGGGUGCUCUGUGGAGCCAACUGUUGGUGAUGUUGUCACGAAUAUAUGGCUGGUAACGUGUGUGGAACAGCAGCUCCUCUUAGAUCCCCAAUCCAAUCCACUUUUCACACCAGUCCCAGUAAUGGAAGGAGUUACUCCUUUGGUGGACUGCGUUCUUUCUUUUAGCCAAUUUACUGGUGCAGAGAGAGACUCACUGGUUUAUCUGGCAGGACUUCUAGGAGCAAGAGUCCAAGAAUUCUUCGUGAGAAAAGCCAAUGCAAAAAAGGGAAUGUUUGCAAGUACCCAUCUUGUGGCGAAAGAGCCGGAUGGUUCCAAGUAUGAGGCUGCAAAGAAGUGGAAUUUGCCUGCAGUCACUGUAGCUUGGCUUUUGCAGUCUGCAAGGACAGGAAAGAGAGCAGACGAAAGCAAGUUUUUGGUUGAACAUGCAGAUGCUGAAGAUGAGAGUUCCAUUACUAAGCUUAGCAAGACACCACCAACUACUAAAUUUCCUGAUUCUCCAGAACGACCUGCUUAUCUCCACAAAGCUGGAAAAAAGCCAGCCGUCACCCCUCUUGAUAUCAACAGGUUUCAGAGUAAAGCUUUCCAAGCUGUAAUCUCCCAUCAUGCUGGGAAAACAGCAACUCCUCCUGCAGCAGGAGGGCUGCUACAAAAAGAACCAUCUUUACACCUUGAUACACCAUCAAAAUUUCUUUCCAAAGACAAGUUAUUCAAGCCUUCUUUUGAUGUAAAGGAUGCUCUGGCAGUUUUGGAUACUCCAGGAGGUCUUGGUCAAAGGAACAGGAAGCUGAGCACCCCUCUUUCUGAAGUCAUUGGCAGAAACCUGAAAUUGGCACUGGCAAACAGCACUCGGAAUACAGAAGCUCUUACUGCCAGCCCUCAGCUGAAGGCUGCACAGCCAGAAGUGGAAGAAGAGCUCAAGCCUCUAGCUGGUGUUGUUAUAUGUGUUAGUAAAAAACUUAGUAAGAAGCAGAGUGAAUUGAAUGCUAUAGCAGCUUCUCUUGGUGCAGACUACAGAUGGUGUUUUGAUGAAACAGUAACGCACUUCAUCUACAAGGGAGGGCAAAACGACAACAACAAGGAAUACAGAUCAGUUAAAGAACGAGGAAUACAUAUUGUUUCAGAACACUGGCUUUUAGAGUGUGCCCAAGAAUAUAAACGGCUUCCUGAAUCUCUCUUUCCUCACACUUACAAUCCCAAAAUGAGCCUGGACAUCAGUGCGGUGCAAGAUUUCAGGCCCUCCUCUUCCAGUAAGCUUCCACCCACUGGAAAACCAGCAGAAGAAAGUGAGGUUAUUCCAGUGGAUGAAGAUGAUGCUGAAGAUGAUUUAACUACUGACCAAAUAAAGGAAACAGUUGGCACAGGAGGAGAACACGUUGGAAUAAGUGAAUCCAGGGGAGUUUUAACCCAGGCACUGGAAAUGAGGGAGAGCUUCCAGAGGCAGCUGCAGGAGAUCAUGUCUGCCACAUCAAUAGUGAAACCACAAGGACAAAGAGGAUCCCUUUCAAGGAACAGUUUUGACAGUUCUCCAGCCACUCCUGAUAGCGCACGGUCUGUGCGAAACGGCCGCAGCAGGGCCUUGGAAGCUCUAAGGCAAUCUCGUCAGGCUCUCACAGAUAUCAACACGGAGCCAUCCCAGAGUGAGCAGAUCAUCUGGGAUGAUCCUACAGCAAGGGAGGAGAGAGCGAGACUUGUCAGCAACUUUCAGUGGCCUAACAGUCCUUCCCAGUACGCAGAGCAAGCUCAGAGUAACGUUAAUAGGAACGUGGAUGAGUCUACCUUCAAAGGGUCCAUAGCUGACGCAGAGAUUGCUGGUAUAGCUGUUCCUGAGGCUGGAGAUGGAGAUACGAUUGAAGAUCUGAAGAAUCCUGUAUGUAGAGAUCCUGAAACACCCGUUAAAGAUCACUUGAUCCCCACCCCGCAGGCUCCCAGCAUUGCAUUCCCACUGGCUAACCCUCCUGUGGCACCACAGCCCCAAGAAAAGGCUGUUACAGAAGAUGAGAAGGUAGAUGAAGAACCAGAAAAAUGCCGUAAAUUUCAGCUGUCUUCUCUUAAUCCUCAAGAAAGAUUUGACUAUUGCCAUCUGAUUGAGGAAUUAGGCGGAAUAGUACUUGAGAAACAGUGCUUUGAUCCAAGUUGCACACACAUCGUUGUGGGACAUCCUCUUCGAAAUGAGAAAUUCCUGGCCUCGAUGGCAGCUGGAAAAUGGGUGCUUCAUCGUUCCUACCUGGAGGCAUGCAGAGGAGCUGGCUGCUUUGUUCAGGAAGAAGAUUAUGAGUGGGGAAGUGAUUCCAUACUUAAUGUUUUGCCUGGGAUCAAUGUAAACCAGAAGAAGCUAGCGCUUGCAGCCAUGAGGUGGAGGAAAAAAAUUCACAAAGGAAGGCAAGAAACUGGAAUUACUGAGGGAGCGUUCAGUGGCUGGAAAGUGAUCCUGAAUGUUGACCACACCAAGGAAGCAGGAUUCCGACGCCUUCUUCAGUCAGGAGGAGCAAAAGUGUUCUCUGGUCAUUCUGUGUCUUUCUUCAAAGAAGCGACUCAUCUCUUUGCUGACUUCAGUAAGCUGAAGCCAGAUGACACCAGGGUGAACGUAGCAGAGGCGGCAGCCCAGGGAGUGAACUGCUUGAAGCCAGAGUACAUUGCAGACUUCCUCAUCCAGGAUCCACCUCCCCCAAUGGAGUCUUACUGCCUGCCGGAAGCUGAGCCUUGCUUCCAGAACAGCAAAGAACUUGGGACUGGAUUAUCCCAGAAAAGAAAAGCACCGGGAGAAAUGAGCAGAGUCAAGCGAUCCAGAAUGCACUGAGAAAGCUCUGUGCUUUUAAGUUGUACAUUUUAUAUAUUCGUAUUUAUAUUUUUUCAACCUCACCACAAAAAUUAAAAGCUUUGAAUCUCACUUCUCAUUUGUCCUGAGAUUAAAAUAGGUUUACAGUAAUAGGGAAGAUCUUUUUGGUUACCGAUGCUGUUAACGAUUUGGUUUAGGGACAGCACUGUAUAAUAAAUAAAUACUUUGAGAUGCUCAGCACACUUUAUGUUUGUUUUGGUAGGGAAAACACCACUUGAUGAGAAUGCCAUUGCCAUGGAUGGUCAUUCCAGUAGUGGACUUAUAUGUUGAGUAUUUCCUCUUGGUUUUGCCCCAAGAGAAAAUACCAAAAGAGAAACUAGAUUUAAAAAAACAAAACCCAAAAAAAGAUUAUACAUUUUAGUAGUAAAUUAUUCCAUAAAAAACUUUAAGUUUUUGCCAUUCCAAAUAUUAACAAAUGUGUUAGUGAAUGCCAGUUGUACCACUGCAUCUCUGUCUUGCUUUGGGGUCACAUACUGAAGAUAACGCUGUUUACUAAUGCCUUAAAUAUCAGUUUGGAAUUAACUUUGCAUUGCACUGGUGAUGUUGCUUUGGGAUUUUAUAUAGGUAAUGGGAAGUAGGAGACAAGAACAAGGGGCUGUAGGGUAUUUUUGUUGUUGUUGUUUAUUUUUUCUCCUUUGCUCUCAGAAAAUGCUGCUAUGGAAGGGUAGUGCUACUAUUGGCAUUUCACAGGUAAGCUUCAGAGAUGUCCAGGAGCCACACAAGUCCUGUGAGUACUGUGACACAAGGGGCUGGACAGAAGGGCAGACUUGGUACAGUGGGCUUCUGAGUGUGAGCAGCUCUCCAGGUAUUUCUUCAGCACUCUUCUGAAGAUUUGUACAGCUGCAGACAGUGCCCAAGUGGACACUUGCAAUGCAAGAGCCUGGGCUGUCACAUAGGCAGGGCACAAGUGAAGCAAAGAGGAUGGCAAGAAAACUUCUGUCCCAGGUCUUGAACACCACAGUGACAGCGUGCUGCUGUCAGAUCACAAGUGCCUGCUGUCAUUGCUUGGAGUCACUGGACAGAUGAACACAAACAGACAAACCUGGAGGUAUAAUUCAGUUGCUGCUGUUAAGAUAAAUUUAUUUUCUUCAGCUUUCUUUACAGGAAACAUCACAAAAGUGCUUUACAGAGUUUGAUACCAUUACUCUAACAUGGGACAAAAGUAGAACAGAGGUGUGAACUGCACAGUCAGAAGUUGGCAUAUGCAGAAACCAUGAGAGGGAAACCAAGCACCAGAACUUCCUCUAAGAACACCUCCGGCCUCACAGCACCCUUGUGAGGUAUUUUUUGCACAGCUGGGGAAGCUGAGGCAAAGUGAAACCAAGUUACUCCAAGUUAACACAGCAACUCAGAGGGAAACUAAGGCCAAACCCCACUCUCUUGGCCCUGCACGCUGGCUUCAGAACAUUUGCUUCUUUCCACUGCAUAAGGUUGUAUGAUGAUGAUGACACAUUUCCAUUCCUGCUUUUGAGAUGCACUUUUUCUGGUGAUUUAUUAAUACUGUGGUGCAUUUUUAAUACUUAUAUGAAAGCUUGCUUCCUAAUAAGACCACUGUACUAUCUUGGAAUUUGUCCUUUCCUGGUUCCCUUUCUAGGUAAGCGAUUACACACAGCCUCAUACCAAGGCUGAACUCCACCCUCUCUCUGGGCAGAAAGAAACAGGACGCUCUCUCGAACUAUUGAACUUGAAAUACUUCUGCUGAGUUACAGGGAUUCAUCACUUCUGAAAGCAGUGCUGAUCUCUGCAGCACUGUCCUUCCUACCCAAGUGCUCACGCUCCGUUCCCUGCCUCCUGCUGUGCAUUCAGUACUGCCACGUAGCAUAAAGCCUCCCUAUUCCUUCUCAUGUCUCUCCUGGUGUUAUACUUAAUUUCCAUCUUCUCUUCUUAUUAUAAGAUUAUUUUCUAUUCUGCUUCCCACAGAACAUGGUGAAGCUACAUCUGUGCUUUAGAAGCCAAGCUAUAAUACAUGAAAAUUACCUUAACCCAAACCAGUUCUGUUGUCUUCUGUCUUUUCCCAUCUGCUACAGCUUGCAGCUUCUUAUGUUAUAGCCAGACUAAAAUGACUUUUUGGUUUUUCCUGAAUAAUGUACUGGCAAACACGUCCGAUUUUCUGCUCCCUUUUACACACUUGCUUUCUGAAUCCAAAAACCACAUGCAAGUCUAACACUGCUUGAGCAGAGUUAAAUAUAUUUAUUGCAAAAGCAAACUCCAUGAUGUGAAGUCCUAUCGAUUUUGUAUCAUCUCCCUGACCUAAACUGUAUACAAACCUUUGCCUUGUUGUGGUGAAAAUCAACAGAUAAUCAAACACUAAAAAAAAAAAAAAAACCCUCAGCCCCUGUAACAUCAGAUUUCUAACACAGUUUGUGCUUUUAGUAAUUCAGCUAUUCCUAAGCUUAAGAGUAACCUUGGACGUGACUGCUACAGCUAACUGCAAAGACAGAACUGAGGCAGCAGGAGAGGGCCACUUCUCAGCAGUUCCCUUUACCUGUGGGUA